rnacentral:rRNA from 1 species
AGGACGAACGCUGGCGGCGUGCCUAAUACAUGCAAGUCGAACGGUCUUUCUAUGGAAGCUUGCUCCACUGAGAAGAUAGUGGCGAACGGGUGAGUAACACGUGGGUAACCUGCCCAUAAGAGGGGGGAUAACAUCCGGAAACGGGUGCUAAUACCGCAUAGUUUUUCUCGAUCGCAUGAUCGGGAAAGGAAAGACGGCCUUUGUGCUGUCGCUUAUGGAUGGACCCGCGGCGUAUUAGUUAGUUGGUGAGGUAACGGCUCACCAAGACGAUGAUACGUAGCCGACCUGAGAGGGUGAUCGGCCACAUUGGGACUGAGACACGGCCCAAACUCCUACGGGAGGCAGCAGUAGGGAAUCUUCCGCAAUGGACGAAAGUCUGACGGAGCAACGCCGCGUGAGUAGAAGAAGGUUUUCGGAUCGUAAAACUCUGUUGUCAGAGAAGAACAAGUUGGAGAGUAACUGCUCCAGCCUUGACGGUAUCUGACCAGAAAGCCACGGCUAACUACGUGCCAGCCGCCGC